AACCGGGGUACGCAGGGGAGUGUUGAAGAGAGUGCGCGCGCGAGAAGAGAGAGAUCAAGAGAACGGGCAUCGCCAGCUGCCCGGGGGGCCUUCACUUUGCAGUCAUCAUCUGUACAAACUCUGUGGAGUGAAGCAGAGAGAGAGGAGAGAUCAAGCCUGGCCUUGACUCACCUUCAUAAUUGACCUGGCCAUCUCCAUCGAUGUCAGCCUCCCUGAUCAUCUCAUCCACCUCCUCAUCGGUCAGCUUCUCCCCCAGGUUCGUCAUUACGUGACGCAGCUCUGCGGCGCUGAUGUAGCCAUUCCCAUCCUGGGGGUUGGGGAUAAAGCCUUUCACUGGGCACUUCUCCCGGCGGGGAGAGAGGCAGUGAGAGGGGUGGCUGUCAUCACCAUCCCUCAGCAGUGAGCACAGUGAGGGAGGCUGCCUGAGGUGGCAGAGCAGGUUGGCAAUGAGGCUGGCACCGGGACCCGGACCUCCUGGAAGUGGUAGCUCCGUGGCUCCAGUUCCGCCUGUCUGCCUGAAGGCUGGCGUCAGUCUCAGAGCCGCCCCUGGAGAGGGCUGCUUACCUUGUCAAAGACACGGAACGCCUCUCGGAUCUCCUCCUCACUGUCUGUGUCCUUCAUCUUUCUGGCCAUCAUGGUCAGGAACUCCGGGAAGUCAAUGGUCCCGUUCCCUGGAAGGUGGGGAAAGGAUGGAGAAUGCUCUUGGCCUGGGCCCUGAGAGACACGGGCUCAUCCAUCACCCUGAGGGAGGCUCCCUGCAGUCACUCGGGGUGACCAGGAGCAGGGCUGCCCACGCGCUCUGUGGGGCUCACCAUCUGCAUCCACCUCAUUGAUCAUAUCCUGCAGCUCUGCUUCAGUGGGGUUCUGUCCCAGGGAUCUCAUCACUGUCCCCAACUCCUUGGUGGUGAUAGUGCCAUCUCCAUCCUUGUCAAAGAGGGAGAAGGCCUCCUUGAACUCUGGGGGAAGAAGGGGGAGGAGUCAGAGGUCACAAGGUCCACAGGAGAAUCCUUACCUCUGGAUGCUGGAUGCCUUCCCUGGAGGAAGGCCAAGGGCAUCAGUCCCACCUAAAGAAACUGAGACAGACUUCAAGUCCCACGCAACCAGCUCUCUCUCCUCAGUGCUCAGGGCAAAGCCCUUCCAACCUUCAUUCAACAGUUAUUGAACAUCAACACUGUGCUAGGUAAAGCUAUUUUUCUGGCCAGCCAGUGAAGACAGUGGGGAAAAUGGUCUGACAGCUGUCCUUAGAUGAUUCUACAUUUCUGUUUGGUCCCCGGCUUUGACUUCUCCCUGAAAUGAUGAAAUGAACCAAAGUCAUGGAGUGAAUGAGA